AGUGAACGCUGGCGGCGUGCUUAACACAUGCAAGUCGAACGAGAACGGAUUAUAGCUUGCUAUAAUUGUCAGCUAAGUGGCGCACGGGUGAGUAAUGUAUAGGUAGUAUGCCUCUUACUAAGGGAUAACAAAUGGAAACGUUUGCUAAUACCUUAUACUCCUUAUUAACAGAAGUUAAUAAGGGAAAGAUUUAUUGGUAAGAGAUUAGCCUGUAUUGUAUCAGUUAGUUGGUGGGGUAAUGGCUUACCAAGACUAUGACACAUAACUGGUUUGAGAGGAUGAUCAGUCACACUGGAACUGAGACACGGUCCAGACUCCUACGGGAGGCAGCAGUGGGGAAUAUUGCACAAUGGACGAAAGUCUGAUGCAGCAACGCCGCGUGGAGGAUGACACAUUUCGGUGUGUAAACUCCUUUUAUAUGAGAAGAUAAUGACGGUAUUAUAUGAAUAAGCACCGGCUAACUCCGUGCCAGCCGCCGCGGUAA
rnacentral:rRNA from 1 species